rnacentral:rRNA from 1 species
UUGGAGGGCAAGUCUGGUGCCAGCAGCCGCGGUAAUUCCAGCUCCAAUAGCGUAUAUUAAAGUUGUUGCAGUUAAAAAGCUCGUAGUUGAAUUUCGGGAUUAGUACGCUGGUCGUGCCUUCGGUACGUACUGGUGUUACUGAUUCCUACCUUCUGACGAACCAUCAUGUCAUUAAUUUGGUGUGGCGGGGAAUCAGGACUGUUACUUUGAAAAAAUUAGAGUGUUUAAAGCAGGCUCGCGCUUGAAUACAUUAGCAUGGAAUAAUGAGAUAGGACGUUGAUCCUAUUUUGUUGGUUUCUAGGAUUGACGUAAUGAUCAAUAGGGAUAGUUGGGGGCAUUAGUAUUCAAUUGUCAGAGGUGAAAUUCUUGGAUUUAUUGAAGACUAACUACUGCGAAAGCAUUUGCCAAGGAUGUUUUCAUUAAUCAAGAACGAAAGUUAGGGGAUCGAAGACGAUCAGAUACCGUCGUAGUCUUAACCAUAAACUAUGCCGACUAGGGAUCGGAUGAUGUUAUUUUUAAUGACUCAUUCGGCGCCUUACGGGAAAC